GAGUUUGAUCAUGGCUCAGAUUGAACGCUGGCGGUAGGCUUAACACAUGCAAGUCGUGCGAGAAAGUACCUUCGGGUGCGAGUAGAGCGGCGGACGGGUGAGUAACGCGUAGGAAUCUACCUAGUAGAAGGGGAUAGCCCGAGGAAACUCGGAUUAAUACCGUAUACCUCCUUAGGGAGAAAGAGGGCUUAGCUUUGAUGCUCUCGCUACUAGAUGAGCCUGCGUAAGAUUAGCUUGUUGGUGAGGUAAAGGCUCACCAAGGCUACGAUCUUUAGCUGGUCUGAGAGGACGAUCAGCCACAUUGGGACUGAGACACGGACCAGACUCCUACGGGAGGCAGCAGUGGGGAAUAUUGGACAAUGGGCGCAAGCCUGAUCCAGCCAUACCGCGUGUGUGAAGAAGGCUUUCGGGUUGUAAAGCACUUUAAGUAAGGAGAAAAAGAUUGUAGUUAAUACCUGCAAUCCGUGAUGUUACUUACAGAAUAAGGACCGGCUAAUUCCGUGCCAGCAGCCGCGGUAAUACGGAAGGUCCAAGCGUUAAUCGGAAUUACUGGGCGUAAAGCGCGCGUAGGUGGUUUUUUAAGUUGGAUGUGAAAGCCCUGGGCUCAACCUAGGAACUGCAUCCAAAACUAGAUGACUAGAGUACGAAAGAGGGAAGUAGAAUUCACAGUGUAGCGGUGGAAUGCGUAGAUAUUGUGAAGAAUACCAAUGGCGAAGGCAGCUUCCUGGUUCUGUACUGACACUGAGGUGCGAAAGCGUGGGUAGCGAACAGGAUUAGAUACCCUGGUAGUCCACGCCGUAAACGAUGGAAGCUAGUUGUUGGACGGUUUACUGUUCAGUGGCACAGCUAACGCAUUAAGCUUCCCGCCUGGGGAGUACGAUCGCAAGAUUAAAACUCAAAGGAAUUGACGGGGGCCCGCACAAGCGGUGGAGCAUGUGGUUUAAUUCGAAGCAACGCGCAGAACCUUACCAGCUCUUGACAUCCCGGUCGCGGAAACAGAGAUGUUUCUUUCAGUUAGGCUGGACCGGUGACAGGUGCUGCAUGGCUGUCGUCAGCUCGUGUCGUGAGAUGUUGGGUUAAGUCCCGCAACGAGCGCAACCCUCGCCUUUAGUUGCCAGCAUUUAGUUGGGCACUCUAAAGGGACUGCCGGUGAUAAGCCGGAGGAAGGUGGGGAUGACGUCAAGUCCUCAUGGCCCUUAUGGGCUGGGCUACACACGUGCUACAAUGGCGCUGACAGAGGGCAGCUAACUCGCGAGAGUAAGCUAAUCCCUAAAAGGCGCCUCAGUUCAGAUUGUACUCUGCAACUCGAGUGCAUGAAGUUGGAAUCGCUAGUAAUCGUGGAUCAGCAUGCCACGGUGAAUACGUUCCCGGGCCUUGUACACACCGCCCGUCACACCAUGGGAAUUGGCUUUACCCGAAGGUAGUGUGCUAACCGCAAGGAGGCAGCUAACCACGGUAAGGUCAGUAACUGGGGUGAAGUCGUAACAAGGUAACC
rnacentral:rRNA from 1 species